rnacentral:sRNA from 1 species
GCUAGGUGUGGUGGUGCACAUCUAUAAUCCUAGCUACCGGGGAGGCUGAGGCAGGAGUAUUGUGAGUUUGAGGGCAGCUUGGGCAAAAGAGCAAGACCCUAUCUCCA